ACCAGUCAAAGGACAAAUGCAGACAUCAGGGAUGUUAUACAUACACUUUUAGGGCAUUUGUGUAGUGAUUAUUCUAAAAUUAAAUGUAUAUUCAAUGAUUUCUUUUUAGGUUGCAGAGGAAUAGCAAUGAUAACUUAAGCAAAACAACAGAAAAGUUAUAAAGAGAAGACACUUUUUUAUUAUAUUUUAGGUUGGUGCAAAAGUAAUUGCAGUGUUUGCAAUUUUUAACUCCAAAAACUGCAGUUACAUUUGCACCAACCUAAUACAUUAUGUAUAACUAUAUGUAAAUUUUCAAAUAGUGACACAUAUACUAAAUUUACCUCAUAAAGCCAUAGUAGGUCACAUAGCACAGUUGGAACAAGACUAACCAUAGCAAGAUAUCAAGGAUUUUGAGUAGCUAUGCCGUCUCCUGAAUACAAGCAUCUCUUCUUAAUUUCUCCCGUUUGAGAAACAGAACAUCCUGUGUUUGUAAGUUUAUAAUCCAACCCAUCUUUUACUUGCUCAGACCUCCACUAACAGGCUGAACAAGGUGCAGACUUUACUUUUAGAAAAUAAAACAAAACAAAAAAACACAAAAAAACCCAAUUUCUGCUAAAAGUAGAUUUCAUCUUGCUGACGAUUCUUAAGUAACUUAAACUGUCCCUCUACAGUUCAUCUUUGAUACCUCCUACUCAUCGCUAUUAUCUUGAGUUUUACUAGCAAUGAAUUCUAGCACACAAGAAAAAAAAAUCAGAAAUGCACCCUUCGUUUACUAAUUACAAAAUCAACAGACCUCAGAAAGACGGGACAUUCACUUCUAUGCACUCCCCUCAAUUCAGGGGUGGAAUUGGGUUGCAUUUUUGUAUCUGUGAGUCUCAGCGUGUGUAAACUCAUGUCCUCACAGAUGCCUGAGGUUUUCUGCUAGCCCAGCUGAUCUUGACCAGGAAUUUAUUUAAUGUAACUGAGUUUUGUCACUGAUGGGCAAUAUGGAGAGAAUGUAAAAAUAUCUAACUUCAAACAGAAAAAAGAAACAACUGGAAUGAAAAGCUAUAAACAAUAGGUAAGGAAACACAAACAUUUACAUUUUAACACAGACCAAACAGGCAAGAAGGGACUUGCUGGCCAAAGAUAUCUCAUAUUUUGUUUUACUUCUCUGUUUUUAAAGUAUCAGGAAGUUGGGCCAAAUAUCAACUCUCUUCUAUAUUACAUGGACCUCCCAAUACUGUUCUUGGCUAGCCUGUUCACGGUCCAAACUGGCAUUUUAAACCAAUUCUAAUUAGGUUGAAAUUACAGUUACAAUUCAUUUACUUCAAAUCCGUUAACCUUCCAGUGUUGCAAAGAAGGCUGUGGAGUGGAACACAGAAUUCAGCUGAGAUGAUAUUUAAGGCAUAGCUAGGGACUGUGAUCUUGCCGACAAAAAUAUUACUUAUUUCCUUUUUAUGAAAAGAAUAUUACCAUCAGAAUCCAAGACCUCCGAACUUCCCUGCUGAAGGCACGUUUACGUCUUUGGACUCUGGUGUACCAGGGCCUGAACAAGCUAUAACACCAUGGUAUUACCAAAUACAUCCUAAGUCAUCAAAACAGCUUUUUAGGCUAAUUCUGUAAGUACAGCAAAACACACAGCAAACUUAAGGUUUUCUUAGUAGUAAAAAACAUGUAUCUCUCAUACUGUAAAAAAUAAAGGUGUUCCAUGGGAGGGAAGGAGUAGGGGGAGAACAGGUUGGGGCUCAAAAUAAGCAAGUAGGGUUAUUGUAAUCUAUUUUAAAGAAAAUUCAUAAUUUUAAAUCUCUCUUUAGUUCAGAAGAUUGACGUAGAGGAUUUACCUACAGAACUUCAGGAGAUUCCUAAGAAGGCCUUCAGUGAUCUUUUCAUCAAUAUCAUCAGGCCUUAUCAUUGUUUCACAUUUGCUUCUCUUUACCAUAGGGAAUAUAAUAAUUAUUUACUGGUUAACUUCCUAGGGAGAUUGCCUGCGGCUUAUUUAAGAUCCAAAUUUUAAAGUAAUAAUUUCUGUUGAAGCUGCUUGUGAGGUGGUUGGGUGGGCAGAUAGAGUGAAGCCAGGGACACACACUAAAUGAGCCCGGGAUGUAGGCAGGUUUUGAUGUUUUGCUUGCUUUUAUCCCUAACAUUUUAUCCCUUCACGUUUACUGUCUCACUGAACAUUUUGUCUACUCUUCUAGUUAUGCAGUGAGCAGGUCUCCUCCAGGAAGAAGCCUCUUUUUAUGAGGAUUGGGGUGGUGACAGACAAUAAUCAAAUGGUCUGAUUUCUCUGCUAUCCUUUCCUUUCCCCUAAAUGUUCUCAGGGGAUCUGCUUGAACUUUUUUCAAGAGCUCUGUAUUUGGAUUUUUAGUAGCCUAUAGAUUAUCACUCAAUAAAACAAAUUAAUUGUUUUUAAGUGAAUUGCCAAAAGUCAUUUUAAAAAGGAAACUCUAUGGUUAUUAUGGUUUCUGCUAGAAAGAAUUCUGACAGCUCAUAAAAGCAAUAUGUAUAAUUUUUCAUUUUUUAGAAGAAAAUAAAUACUUUCAUGUAAUGGCUUGA
rnacentral:lncRNA from 1 species